AUGUGUACCCCAAAGAAACAUGGUGGAAUGGGGUUAAGGGAAUUGCACUAUUUUAACUUGGCCAUGUUGACAAAACAAAUUUGGCACCUUAUAGAAGAGCCAGAAUCUCUUUGUACUAAAAUUUUAAGAGAAAAAUAUUUUUUAGACGGGGACCUACUCAAUUGUCAGUUAGAGAAGGGUAGCUCCUUUACUUGGCAAAGUCUUUGGGCUAGUUUGCAAACUUUGAAGAAAGGCUACAUUUGGAGGGUUGGUGAUGGUACAAAAAUAAAUAUCUGGGGCGACCAUUGGGUACCUUGCAGUCCAUCGAUAAGGAUCACAACUAGACUAGGUAAUAUUGUUCUGACUAAAGUUUCAUAG
rnacentral:rRNA from 1 species